rnacentral:sRNA from 1 species
GUCAACUACCUCUCCCUAAAUCGGAAAUUUAGGAAGGGGCUUGAAAAAGCUCCGUAGAGGGGUGAGAGAUUAGCCUGAGCGAUGUCCCCUCAUAGGGUGAGGGCAGAUGAGCUACGUUCGGGGCCAAGUGUCUGACAAUACACCCUGGGGUGCCUCCCAAGCCACCAGGCUCUAAAAGUCCAGGCGGACGAAACACUUCGCUAACCCAAUGGCAUGCAACAUCGCCUUGGACCUCUAUGCCUGCCCCAACAUUGGCGAUGGGAACCAACUCACCCUUGGCAAGGUG